GCAGGACGUCCGAGGGCGGCGGGCCGGGGCGUGGCUGCGCAGGGACCGCUCUCGCCCUGCCGCCCACCCCUCCUCCCAACGGCGGGGAGGCCGCGGGACGUUUUCCUGCCGGGCUGCCAUACGGUGACAUCCUCGAGCCCGGGAGUGGAAGCGAGCGCUCGGGAGGGCGCCCCUUUGUCCCUCCAUCCCCGCCUGUGAGGGGCGCCAGGGACGGGCGCGCCUCGGCGGGGCUCGCCUCCCCUUCUCUCUUUCCUACCACCGCGACGUUGGCGCGGCGAGGAGGCGUGUCCGCUCCGCUGGGCGCGGGGCUGCCGGCCUGGCCCGGGGGCGGAACCACGCCUCGUGCCCCCCCCGCCGCCGCAGGGUUUCUAGGUGGCCGCGCCUCGAGACGCGGGCGCUCGCCCUCUCCUUGCUCUUCCUCUGCUGAGCUCCCGGCCUCGGGGCGGCCCGGCUGGGAGCGAGGUCACGGCUGGGGCGGGGCCGCUCCCGCAGGAAGGACUGACAGCGUCCCCGUCUGGUCCCGGGCGGCCGGGGAGCCGGGCUCCGGCGGAGCCUGACGACCGGCCCCGGGCUGGUGGAUAACCUGGCAACGUGGGUGACGUGCCCACCGCCUCUCGUGCUUGCAGGAGUGAACUACGUGCCGGUGCAGCCGGCGCCGCUGUUCAGGGAACGCGGGGCCCCUUCCUUCUCGCCCCAGGCCUGCUGCCAAUUCCUCUCGGCUGCCUCCUCCCGCCGCGGUGGGAAGGCUUCAAACGCCACCAGCUGCGAGGCCCCCGCCCACCGCGCCCCACCCACCCGCCGUCUGGGCCUCGCGGAGCGAAUACCCCGGGCCGUCCAGUCCGCGUCCUCAUGGCCCUGGCCCUUCCACUGGCCCCGACCGCCACCGGCGCCCCCGCCUUCACCCCCUCGGCCCCACCAUCCUUCUACAGGCCUAGCCCUCGUGGGAGGAACCAGUGUACAGCUUCCCACUGCCUCGGGAUGGGCGCAGCAAGCUCCUUUCCGGACCCUCGCCGGCAGCCCCAGGACUGGAAGGCAGAGCCUGGGACUGCAGCCCCUGGGCGGUUUGCCUUCGUGGACGGAUCGCACGUGUCAGCCGACGGACCGCGCGGGGAACCUGCUGGGUGGCAGCAGCCGAGACGCUCGAGACGCUGGAACCGCGUGGACCUGGGUGGGGUGGAGGGUAGGCAGCGUUAUCCUGCGCGCAAAAUUAGGAGCGGCCAUUUCCCACCGAAUUAAUUUGAGGCCUGGUGAGAAAAAAAAACGUUUUUCCAGGUAACGAAGAAGGAACUGAGAGAGGUGUUCUCUGUGGCGUGUCACGGUGAAGAGCGAGCGCCCUCGGUGUUGGUAACUGACACCCUACGCUUACCUCUCCCUGAUCAAGCCGGUGCCCUCUGGGAAGUCCGCAGGAGUGCUUCCCUGGGGUGGGCUCCCUAAGGGCCAUCUGGGUCAGAUCCCUCCAGGAGGGUCUCCUGACAGGAAGGAGUCGUUCUGCCCGGCAGAUUGUGUUGAUGACGUUUAAGAGGUUUGUGUCCUGACCAAAUAAUGAUUCAGAGUGUUCCCGUAGUCCUGCCACAUGCCACAGUCACUUGGUUAAAGUUGGAGCUGGCCCUUCCCGGACUUACCGGCAUCCAUCCCCUGCCUGUUCCUCUCCUGCUGCAGUACCCCAGCCUGCACACGCACACUGGCCGUCCUCCCACAAGCAUGCACUAUUCUAGGCACUGGGCCACAGCCAUGGGCAAGACACCUGCCCUGGGUGAGGGCAGGCUGGCCUGGGUCGAGGUCCUCUGCACUGCCACGCACCCCACCCCAUCCACAGCCCAAAGCUGUCCUUAGGCCUCUCUGGGGGUGCUGAGUGCAGUCUCCCUAAGGGUUUCAGCUGUGCCCUGUGGCAUUCUGGAUGCAAAACUCAGUUCCCUGGUUGGUUUCUCAAGCGUUUGAUGAUCGUUCACUGAAAGCCUCAGACCCUGCAGCCUUUACCACGUAGAAGUAUGUUCCAGUAUCCAGAGAUGCAUUUCUCCUCCCCAGAGCUGUGAGUAGUCCGCGUUUUUCUUUUUAUGUGGUAUUCUGGCAGAGGUAGCUUAUGUAUAAACGAGGGUGGGUGGGGAUCAAGUGUCAGAUGGAAGGAACAGAAUAUACAAAAACAGAGUAGGGAAGAUCAGAUGAGAACAAGUAGAUGGAGAUGUGUCUGGGAGUAAAGAGGUUCAAGACUGAAAAGGUAGCUAGGGUUUCUGGUAAAGGUGGUGAACUUCUGGAGCCUCCUGAAACUUCUGGAGCCUAAAGAAAGUAAAAGGAAGCAUCUUGGGUUGGGAGACACCAGGCACAAUUGACCAUAAUUGUGGUCAUAAUAAAUGACCAUAAUAAUUCCUGUUAUUGCCAUAACAGGAACAGGGGGAUUAAAUGAACUUAAAGAUAUUGGAUACUGAGACCAGCCCCUGCACCCCUCUUGGCAUUUCAGAUCGCAGGGGCCAGGAGACAAAGGGUGUUUUCUGGAGCAUCAGACCGGGCCAAGGGAAAUACCUCAACUUUCUGGCAUCUGUGGUUACCCAGCUAAGUCGGAUCACCCCAAGGAGAGGCCACUGAUAAUGAGCCCCACACAUGUGUACAGAGCUUCUAAUCAGUCUUUCACAGGAAGCCACAGCUGACCUAGCAUCUCAGGAAACCAGGGGGGGCGGGGGCAUGAAAUCUAGAGCCCCAAUGGCUUUUUAAAAAGCAACUUGGAAGAAACAGAGACUAUAUAGAGAGAAGUAUAUGUCAACAUAAACUACUAAUAAUGUCAUCAGAGAAAUUAAGAUACUGCCACCCAUGAAGGCAGGACACCUAUAAAGAAACAUUCAGAGAACAAACAAAAUUUAACAUAAGAUAGCAGAAAGGAUUCAGGAAGGGGGAACAAGAUAAAGUUAAGGAAAUCCCUAUGAAAGUAGAACAAGGGGUGCCUGAGUGGCUCAGUCAGUUGAGCACCUGGCUCCUGAUUUCAGCUGAGGUCGUGAUCUUGGUCCAUGCUCAGGACGGAGUCUUUUUGUCCCUUUCUCUCUACCCGUCCCCUGUUGGUAUUCUUUUUCUCUCUCUAAAAUAGAUAAAAUCUCAAAAAAAAAAAAAAAAAAAAAAACAAAGAAAGUAGAACAAAAAAGAAUGCCAGAAAUGGGAAAUAGAGAAAAAAUUAGAGGAGCAUCCAGGAAGUCCAUUGAUGAAAUAACAGGAACCCGGAAUGAAUGAUCAGAGAAAACACAGGGGGUGGGUGGAGUCAUCAAUGAAUUAAUCCAAGAAAAGUCUCCACUACUGAAGAAUGUGUGUUGAAAGGGCCCUCAGGGAGCCCAGCUCAUUGGAAAAAAAUAGUCCUAUCCUCAAGGAGAUUGCUGUUGAAGUUCAAAAUAAUGGAGACAAGAAGCGUCCUGACAAUAGAAGCAGGUCACAUAGAGAUUGUCAGGAGUCAGAAUGGUUGUGGGCUUCCCCACAGCAACAAGUAGACCAGGCAAGGGGCAAAGCCUUGGGAAAUCUAAAGUAAAAUUACUUUCCCGUGUUUACCCAGACAGUACAAACCAAAUAUUUUUAGAUGCAGGAGGUCUCACAAAAUUUGCCUUCCAAAAUAAAUAAAUAAAUAAAUAAAAAAUGCCUUCCAUACAUCCUUUCUCGUAGUAGGAAGCUACCAGAGAUAAUGCUUCCAAAAUGAAGAAUUCAGUCAACAAAGAGGGAGGCAUGUGGUCCAGGAAGUCUUCCACACAGGAAGGAGAGAAGCACAGAGGGCGAACAGACCAAGCUGGGGGAGCCAGGUGCAGACCCAAGAUGUCCCCAGAAGACAAGGAGCUGAGAGCUAUUCAGUGAAGCAUUAACAGUUGCCACAAACCUGUGACUUCCACAAAAUGUGACUUCUGAGGAUACUAAGAAAACUGGCAAAGAGUUUGGGGGUUGAAUUAAUGAGGCAGAGACAAUAGACAGAGGGAGAAGCAAGCAGCCCAGUGCGGGACUUGAUCCCGGAUCACUCCCUGAGCCAAAGGCAGACAAUCAGCCACUGAGCCACCCGGGUGUCCCUCUAAUGGAGAUUUUUGAGGAGUACACACGGGCAGAGGAGGCAAGAGGAAAGGAGACUAAGUCCACAACUACAUAUGGGGCGAUAACUGACAGCACCCCAAACUGAAAGCCCAAGAGGUAGCAAUAUGAUCAUGCUGUGACAGACAAAGUUCUAAGAUGGCCCCAACAUUCUAGUCCCCAGUCUACAUAUACUUCUCCCCAUAAUCAAAUGCUAAUGCAGGUAUUUCUGUAAAGGCAUUUUACAGAUACGAUUAAAGCCCAAAUCAGUUGACCUCAAGACGGGGAGGUUAUCUAGUAGGCCUGACCCAAUUACAUGAGCCGAUUUAUCUGGGUCUAGGGGUCAGAGAUGGGAGAUCAAAGAGAUUGGAAGCACGGGAUUCAAAUUGGGAUUUGAGGUGGGAGAAGUUUUACAUUGCUGGCUUUGAAGAUGGAGGAGAGACUACAUGGCCGGAAACAUGGGUGUCUCAGAAUGGCCUCCAGAUGACGGCCAAUUGAAACUGGGACCUCAGCCUUAUGACUGCAGAGAACAAACUUCAACCACAGUCAUUGGGUUGGAAGAGGGCCCUGGGCUCUAGUACAGAACAUGACCUGGGUGGUACUUUGAUUUUGGCCUCAUUAGAAGCUGAGCGGAAAACCCAGCUGCCCCAUUCCUGGACUUCUGACCUACAGAACUGCCAGAUCAUAAAUGGAUGAUUCAAGCUGCUAAACCUGUGGUAAUCUGCUACACAAUAGAAAAUUUAUGCAUGCCCUGUUUGAGUUACAGAAAUUGGGGAAAGAGGCAAGAGGGAUUAUUUCUGGGGAAGGGGAAGAAAGGGAAGUUGAGGGGUUACUGUUUCAUAACAAACCUUGAGCCUAUAAGGUAUCUGCAUAUAUAACUUUAAGGAAUAAUCCCAAUUAAAAGAUGUGUUAGACUACGAGCACUCAGCUACCAGUUGCUGUAGACUGAAUGCUUGUGUCUCUCCGCACCAAAUUCAUAGGUUGAAACCUAACCCCUCAGGUGAAGGUAUUAAGGGUUGGGGCUUUGGGGAGGUGAUUGGGUUAUGAGGGUGGAGGCCCCCUCCCCAUAAAUGGGCCUAGUACCCUCAUAGAAGAGACCCCAGAGAGCUCCUUUGCCCCUUCUGUGUUGUGAAGACCCAGUGCUAUGUGAGCUUCGUAUCUAUGAACCAGGAAGUGGGUUAUCACAAGACACAAAAUCCUUGGCACUUUGAUCUGGGACUUCCAGCCUCCAAAACUUUGAGAAAUAAAUGUCUGUUGUUAUAAACCA